UACGUAGGAGGCGAGCGUUGUCCGGAUUUACUGGGCGUAAAGCGCGCGCAGGCGGCACUUCAAGUAAGGUGUGAAAUCUCCCUGCUCAACGGGGAGGGUGCACUUUAGACUGAGGAGCUAGAGGACGGUAGAGGGGAGUGGAAUUGCUGGUGUAGCGGUGAAAUGCGUAGAGAUCAGCAGGAACACCCGUGGCGAAGGCGGCCCCCUGGGCCGUACCUGACGCUGAGGCGCGAAAGCGUGGGGAGCGAACAGG
rnacentral:rRNA from 1 species